GAGGAAAGAAGUCACGGCAGCAAUACAAUCAGACAGAGUCAACCACACACCAGCUUCCAUCUUGUCUUUUUCGUGGGCACAGCAGGAGAGGAGCGUGAUCAUCCUCGCCGCUCGACCAGCCUCCUCUCAACCACUCCCUGUCUCUUCUUGUUUUUCCCAUCUCCAGAGAACCCUAGUUUGCUUCCUCCCUUGCGCCGCCGUUUCCCUUCUGUCUGUUCUCCACGCAAACAGCAGACAAAGAACACACUUCAGAUAGUUUGGAAGAUUCAGAGAACGGAGAUCCUCGCCGGAGAAAAUCGACGACAACGUCAGCGUUUUCUUCUCCGACCCCAGAAGAAAAUUGGGGUUUCCAUCGCCACCGUGUUCCCCCAUUGUUUUUGAGCGGGGAUUCGUGUUCCUGAUCGUCAUCGCCGGCGCCGCUAUGGUGGUUCCCGAGCCCAGCUAAGGCCUCCCUUCGGUUCGCCUCGUCAACGCACAUCUCCUGGCGCAAGGAAUUGGAAGGACGUGCUCCAGAUCGACGUCGCCGUCCUCGACUUGCCGCAGUCACCGUCGCGUCUCCUUCCUCCUCUUCAUCGAAUCCGUCUUCCCCGAGCUCCACCGCUUCGCCAGCUUCCUCCUGCAUUUGCUUCUUCCCGGAUAGGAUCACGAAGUGGUGAUGUGAGAUACGACGAGUUCUCCGACAAGUUCUUCUGCAACUUUUCACA